rnacentral:rRNA from 1 species
AGUUUGAUCAUGGCUCAGAUUGAACGCUGGCGGCAUGCCUUACACAUGCAAGUCGAACGGCAGCACGGGAGCUUGCUCCUGGUGGCGAGUGGCGAACGGGUGAGUAAUACAUCGGAACGUACCCUGAAGUGGGGAUAACGUAGCGAAAGUUACGCUAAUACCGCAUAUUCUGUGAGCAGGAAAGAGGGGGAUCGCAAGACCUCUUGCUUUAGGAGCGGCCGAUGUCGGAUUAGCUAGUUGGUGAGGUAAAGGCUCACCAAGGCGACGAUCCGUAGCGGGUCUGAGAGGAUGAUCCGCCACACUGGGACUGAGACACGGCCCAGACUCCUACGGGAGGCAGCAGUGGGGAAUUUUGGACAAUGGGCGCAAGCCUGAUCCAGCCAUGCCGCGUGAGUGAAGAAGGCCUUCGGGUUGUAAAGCUCUUUCGGUGGGGAAGAAAUGGCACGGGUUAAUACCCUGUGUUGAUGACGGUACCCGCAUAAGAAGCACCGGCUAACUACGUG